UACCUGAUGAGCACCGAGG
rnacentral:misc_RNA from 1 species